GACGAACGCUGGCGGCGUGCCUAAUACAUGCAAGUCGAGCGCAGGAAACCGUCUGAACCCUUCGGGGGGACGACGGCAGAAUGAGCGGCGGACGGGUGAGUAACACGUAAAGAACCUGCCCAUAGGUCUGGGAUAACCACGAGAAAUCGGGGCUAAUACCGGAUGUGUCAUCGGACCGCAUGGUCCGCUGACGAAAGGCGCUUCGGCGUCGCCCAUGGAUGGCUUUGCGGUGCAUUAGCUAGUUGGUGGGGUAAUGGCCCACCAAGGCGACGAUGCAUAGCCGACCUGAGAGGGUGAUCGGCCACACUGGGACUGAGACACGGCCCAGACUCCUACGGGAGGCAGCAGUAGGGAAUCUUCCACAAUGGACGAAAGUCUGAUGGAGCAACGCCGCGUGAACGAUGAAGGCUUUCGGGUCGUAAAGUUCUGUUGUAAGGGAAGAACAAGUGCCGCAGGCAAUGGCGGCACCUUGACGGUACCUUGCGAGAAAGCCACGGCUAACUACGUGCCAGCCGCCGCAGUAACAC
rnacentral:rRNA from 1 species